rnacentral:rRNA from 1 species
UAGAGAUUUUAAUUAAAGUAAAAUAAAUAUUAUUUUAAAUAUUAAUUAUCAAAACAUCAUUAGAUUUAGUAAAGGUGAUUAAAAGUUAUUGUUUACUUAAAAAAAGUACUGUAGAGGAAGGAAUUAAACUGUAAUAAAGAAGAAAUCAAAAUUCGUACCUUUUGUAUCAUGGUUUAACUAGAUUUGCAUUAAAUAUAUAAUUUCUCGAAAUCUGGCGAGCGAUCUUUGUUUGUCAUAUUAGUAAUAAAAGACUAGUUGUAGCAAAAACUUUCUUAAAAUCAAGGAUAGAAAUGAAAUUUUAUUCGCGCUAGAUGAUAGCUAGUUCUUUACCGGAGGCAUAGAAGUGCUUUAGAUUUAAAAUUUUAGUUGGUAAUAUUGAUUACUAAGUACUACAUAAUCUAGGUAGAUUUCUGAGGAUAAGCUCAGAAACAUAUUUAAAUGUAUAGAAAAUUUAUUAUUGAAUUUAAGCUUGAAAAUAGCUAUAAUUUAGAUUUUGUUAUAAUACCACAAAAUGUCUAUAAAUAUAAUUAAUAUACUUUUUCUUCUUAAGUAAAGAAAACUCAAGAAUUCAAAAUGAGUUAUAUCUAUGUUAAAAUGAGUAUUAAAUAAACUAUUAUUUUUAAUUGAAUUGUAAAAGUAAACAUUAAAGAUUUAUUUUAUUUUUAAAUUAUGAAAAGGAACUCGGCAAACCUAUAUUCUGCCUGUUUAUCAAAAACAUGGCUCCUUGUAAAAACUUAAAUGAGGAGUCCGACCUGCCCAGUGAAGGUUUUUAACGGCCGCGGUACUCUGACCGUGCAAAGGUAGCAUAAUCAUUUGCCUUAUAAUUGAAGGCUGGUAUGAAUGGUUUGACAAGAAUAUAGCUGUCUCUUUAUAAUUUGCUAGAAUUUUAUUUAUAAGUGAAGAAGCUUAUAUAAAAUUGAAGGACAAGAAGACCCUAUCGAGCUUUAAAAAAAUUAAUAGACUAAAAAAUUAUUCAUAAAGACAUAAUCUAUUAGACAUUUUAGUUGGGGCGACUGGGGAACAGAAAAAGCUUCCUUUAAAUACAUUAGAUAAACGUACGAGUCUUGAUCCAAAAAUUUUGAUUGAAGGAAAUAGUUACCGUAGGGAUAACAGCAUAAUCUUUUUUAAGAGCCCAUAUCGAAAAAAAGGUUUGUGACCUCGAUGUUGGACCAGAAUAUCCUAAAGAUGUAGCAGUCUUUAAGGGUUGGUCUGUUCGACCAUUAAAAUUCUACGUGAUCUGAGUUCAGACCGGCGUGAGCCAGGUCAGUUUCUAUCCUCAAUUACUUAAAUAGAUUUAGUACGAAAGGACCAGUCUAUUAUAAGAGUUUAUUAAAAUUUGAAGAAAUAUAACGAAAUUUUAAAUAAUAAAUAGGCAGAUAAAUCAGA